rnacentral:sRNA from 1 species
UUAUAAACCUGACAGUAGCGGCAUCCUUUUUGGCUUUUGUUGAUUUGAAUUAAAGCCAAUUUUGCCAAAAAGAUUUAGCGGAUGGCGGGACUGAAC